UGGAUUUUUCAUAUAUGGCAUUUAUAAGGCUGAGGUGUUGGAACAGGCAGUGGCUGGACAAUGCCACGUUACCAGCUGGGGAGACGUCCGCUUUGCACCCUCUGAUUUUGAAGGCUAUAUGCUGCGUAUUUCAAAAUGGACUGGAAGCACCACCCAUCAGAAGCACUCACGAUGUAAUGCACAGCGUGUGGUUACACAGCAGUGCUUUUUAAUUACUCGGUCUGAAGAGUUAACAGAGGCUGCAGUUACACUCAGAGCCAGGUUGUCUGAAUUCAAAUCUCAUUUCAGUCACUUGCUGGGCAUGUGAUCACGGCAAAUCACUGAACUUCUCGGGCCUCAGUUUCUCCAUCUGCAAAAUGGGCUCAGGAUUAUUAUGAUAGUAUUAUGAAUUAAUACAUGUGAGGCACCGUAUGGAUUCGAUAAUUAUUAUCUGAGCAACCAUUCUUGGCCUUCACUUUCUUAGCUACUUAUGAACAAGAACAUGGGGGAAAUGAAAUAAAAGCACAUAUCUCCUUAAAGCAUGCAACACAAAGCCUGUUUCUUGGUGUUUUCAUUCCAUGAGUGUGGGUAGACAGCCAGCCG